GUACUGGCUCUGGCAGUGUGUACACUAAAGUUGGAACUAUAAAGAGAAGAUUAGCAUGAUCCUAUGCAAGAAUGACAUGCAAAUUCUUAAAGAAUUUAAUAUUUUU
rnacentral:snRNA from 1 species